rnacentral:rRNA from 1 species
AUACGGAGGGUGCAAGCGUUAUUCGGAAUCACUGGGCGUAAAGGACGCGUAGGCGGGUUGGCAAGUCAGAUGUGAAAUCCUACAGCUUAACUGUAGAACUGCAUUUGAAACUGCUAACCUAGAGUAUGGGAGGGAGAGAUGGAAUUAGUGGUGUAGGGGUAAAAUCCGUAGAUAUCACUAGGAAUACCGAAAGCGAAGGCGAUCUCCUGGAACAUAACUGACGCUAAGGCGUGAAAGCGUGGGGAGCAAACAGGAUUAGAAACCCUAGUAGUCC